AAGAGGAAGAAGGUUUUUAUGAGGAAGUCGUGACAACCUUUCCCAAAGAUGGGAAUGAGGACAUGGUAGCGUAGAGGAAAAAGGAGAGACUGAGAAGGAAGCUGGACGACUGAAGGGGAGAUAAACAAUGGAAGAACUGACCCCAUCGGUCGUGUUUUCAGAUUCAGAGAAGGGUCAACUAUGUUUUUGGAAAACAGUCCAAUCACACCAGCUUUGCCUCCUGAAUGGAAAUAUGUGACUGCUCCACAACAAUGAAACUCCACAUCAGAGAGACGCCUUGUCAACAGGCAGAGCUCAGGAAAGUCAUUCUUAAUACUGUAAGCUGUUUAAACAAGCAUGAAAAGUUUGCGCAGUUGCCAGGCAACCAGCGAAGCCAGGAAAUUGGUCCGACAUCCUUUAACAUGACCAACGUCAUGGCGUCACCUCGGCUCACCUGUACGCAGUGAGCUCCACCUUGUCGCUGUCACUGGACACGAGCUCCGGGAUGAGGGACAGGUGUGAGAUCUGAGUGGCCGCCCAGCCGAACUGGAAGAU